rnacentral:rRNA from 1 species
UCGGGGAACGAUAACGGCGUCGAGCGGCGGACGGGUGAGUAAUGCCUAGGAAAUUGCCCUGAUGUGGGGGAUAACCAUUGGAAACGAUGGCUAAUACCGCAUGAUGCCUACGGGCCAAAGAGGGGGACCUUCGGGCCUCUCGCGUCAGGAUAUGCCUAGGUGGGAUUAGCUAGUUGGUGAGGUAAGGGCUCACCAAGGCGACGAUCCCUAGCUGGUCUGAGAGGAUGAUCAGCCACACUGGAACUGAGACACGGUCCAGACUCCUACGGGAGGCAGCAGUGGGGAAUAUUGCACAAUGGGCGCAAGCCUGAUGCAGCCAUGCCGCGUGUGUGAAGAAGGCCUUCGGGUUGUAAAGUACUUUCAGUCGUGAGGAAGGCGGCGUCGUUAAUAGCGGCGUUGUUUGACGUUAGCGACAGAAGAAGCACCGGCUAACUCCGUGCCAGCAGCCGCGGUAAUACGGAGGGUGCGAGCGUUAAUCGGAAUUACUGGGCGUAAAGCGCAUGCAGGUGGUUUGUUAAGUCAGAUGUGAAAGCCCGGGGCUCAACCUCGGAAUAGCAUUUGAAACUGGCAGACUAGAGUACUGUAGAGGGGGGUAGAAU